rnacentral:rRNA from 1 species
GACGAACGCUGGCGGCGUGCUUAACACAUGCAAGUCGAACGGAAAGGCCCUGCUUUUGUGGGGUGCUCGAGUGGCGAACGGGUGAGUAACACGUGAGUAACCUGCCCUUGACUUUGGGAUAACUUCAGGAAACUGGGGCUAAUACCGGAUAGGAGCUCCUGCUGCAUGGUGGGGGUUGGAAAGUUUCGGCGGUUGGGGAUGGACUCGCGGCUUAUCAGCUUGUUGGUGGGGUAUUGGCUUACCAAGGCUUUGACGGGUAGCCGGCCUGAGAGGGGGACCGGCCACAUGGGGCCUACGCUACGGCCCAGACUCCUACGGUAGGCAGCAGGGGGGAAUAUGGCACAAUGGGCGCAAGCCUGUUCCGGCAACGCCCCGUGCGGAAUGACGGCCUUCGGGUUGUAAACCGCUUUCGCCUGUGACGAAGCGUGAGUGACGGUAAUGGGUAAAGAAGCACCGGCUAACUACGUG